GUCUACUGCCAGAAUACAAAUAUGUAAUUUUUCAGUAUGUUUUUGUGAACGAGAGGAACAAAAGUUAUUUUAAACUUCUCUCUUUUUUUCCUCCUCCCUUUGAGGUUACGGCUGUAAUGAAAUACCCCAAAUGUCAUUUAUUCCUCUCUGCUCUGCUUUCAGUAUGAGUCUCCAAGGAACAAGCAACAUCUUUUGUGGAAAAAGGGUAUCUGAAACCUAUUCUGAGUACUGCAAAUGGUGAAAUAAGAAUGACAGUAAAAGAAACAGGAUAAACGGUGUCUACUGAGAAAGCUCCCAUGGAACUGCUGAGUGAGGAUCGCUGACGCUCACUCACAUAAUUAUGAAACUUAGUGAAGAUGAGCUGUCAGGAGAUCUCUAAUUAGAUAGUGCAGCAAACCCCAAACUCACUUUCCUACGUGCAUUACCAAGGGGCGUUACCUUAGAGAAGCUGGUGUGUUGUUCUCCCAGUGAAAUGGCCAAGGAAAGAUUUGGACAGGUAAAAAAAACCCAUGGAAAGCUUUUGAGGUCCUUCUCCUCAGAUGGGCUUGCUUCACAUCGUCCUUGGCCCUUUAAGGAAUACUCUGUGCAUGAGGCAUGCCAGAUGCAAUAUGUUGGAAUGUGGAAAUCUUCCUCCUAAGUACUGUUCUGAGACCAGAACCUGCACCCUUGCCUCACUGAUACUGCUGCAGAAGUGCUAGCUGUUGCUGAGGUAAAAAAAUUCCUUUUGAAAGGUUAGAUUCUUCAAGUUUUGUAGUGGCUGAAAUAGAUGAUGUGU
rnacentral:lncRNA from 1 species